rnacentral:rRNA from 1 species
UACGGAGGGUGCGAGCGUUAAUCGGAAUUACUGGGCGUAAAGCGUGCGCAGGCGGUCUUGCAAGACAGAUGUGAAAUCCCCGGGCUCAACCUGGGAACUGCAUUUGUGACUGCAAGGCUAGAGUACGGUUGAGGGGGAUGGAAUUCCGCGUGUAGCAGUGAAAUGCGUAGAUAUGCGGAGGAACACCGAUGGCGAAGGCAAUCCCCUGGACCUGUACUGACGCUCAUGCACGAAAGCGUGGGGAGCAAACAGG